AUGCUCAGAAACAGCCUAAUUAUUCAAAGGAAAGAUGGAAUUAAGAGCUGUCUGCUAUGCCGCUGUGAUGUGUGAGCUGCUGCAGCUAUACUCACCACCCUCAUGCUGCUAGCCUGAAUCUAAGUACACUUCUGAGCUCCUGUACAUAUAUGAAGAAGCUCUUUUGAUUUUACUCAGUGGCAUAAUUCGAGGCUCAGAAACAUAUGAAGGGUACUCCCUCCAUCCCAACGGCCACUGCUAUCUCCUCAGGUGGAGAAAAAUAAAGAGCUAGGUACAACUCCAUCAUGCCUAGAAGCAAAGGAAAGGCCCCCCAGUCCUUCCCAACUGCUACUGCCCUGGCCGUGGACAAAGAGAAGAAAAGGCAGGCACAUUUCCAUCAUGCCUAGACCCAGCAGCAGUUGAAAUGUUCUCCUUCCAUCCUGGUCUUGGAGCAAGAGAAGAAAAGGUCUCAGAGGGAGAGAAGAAGCAGGCAUAGCUCCAUGUCUAGAUCAGAAGCAGCUGAAAUGCCCUCCCGCCAUCCUGGCCUUGGAGGAAAAGAAGAAGAGGUAGGUGCAGUAGCAUCGUGUCUGAAGCAAUACCUAUUGAUCUACUCACAUUUGCAUUUUUUCGAAUUGCUAGGUUGGCAGAAGCUAGAGGUAACAGCAGGAAUUCACCCCAUUCCCUGGAUGUGAACAAGUUCAGCAACUCAGCGAUUUAACCCGCUGUGCCACCGGGGGCUCCCAACUGUACUUCUCUUGAGGACAAUCAGAGAGAAGGAAUAGUGAUUGUCACUGCAACACCCAUCAUGGGCUUUGUCAAUGCUCCCGUUUGUAUUGUGUCUGUGUUGGGAGCUCAUAAAACAUUAUUGUGUUUCAUCAAAGUUUGUAAAAUUAUUUGUUGAUUAUAAAUUCUACAAUUUGUAGUCCAAAACUACUUUUUCCCAAGCUCUGACACAUGACACAGAAGUAGUAACUGUAGUGUUUGAUCAGUGGUAAUUGUAUGUGUAUAUUAGAGUGAACCAGACCAAACUUAAGACUUUGUAAUAAUUUAUUGAUGGGUUGCAGUCUAAUCUUUUUCUUCUAAUCUUCUUAUAUAACUUAAUCACCUUCAAAAAGUAACUUACUUAGCUAGGUUAAUCUACAGAUGGCUUUGCAAUAAAUGACAUCAUUACUACCAUGAGAUGCCAUUUAAUAAGACGUUACAGACAGUCCUCAAAUGAGCAAUCAUGGUUAAAGAUGUUAGUAGUGUUAAUAAAAAGCUUGAUUAAACACAAGAAAUGUGAAAUGCUGCCCUCAUAUUCAGUCAUAAUAGUAGAAAAUAUCUGCAUAUAUUCCUAACUAGGAAUUUCAUGUGUAAUCUGCCAAGCAUGAAAAUGAAAAUUUGCCCGUAUGUUUUAUACAUUAGAAUAAUUAUUUUGAUUGGGCUCUGCGGAGCAAAAGCUUUGCAUAUGAUUACAGUCCAUGCUGUGAUGAGCAGACUCAACUGUAACAUCUCCAUUUCAGUGUUGCUAGGCAGUUGUGGUAAAAAGUAAAUUCUUGUUCCUCUCCUUUCCAAAUUAGACAGGCAAAAUGUAGCACUGCAACAUUUAUUCACUGGAGAUGACAGCAAUCUAACCACUGUUUGUUUUUAUUAUUCCUUAAAACUGUUAAUCUCGUAUAGAAAUUUGAAUCAAAUGUACGGCUUGGUGCUUAACUACUUAUCUCCUCAAAGUGUUGUAUUUGUUUGUGACAUUCUCACCAAAGAUAUUGUGUGUUAGAGGAAAUCGGCACAAUACAACAAUCACUCUCCAGGCCACUAUUAAAACAAAAACUUUCAUGAUGAUACCUUUAGUAUUGGAUUUGGGUUUGGCAUGUAUACUUAGAAAGACAAGGAGGGAAAUUCUGGAAGUGAGAAACAAUUGUUCCUUUUCACUGCAAAACGAAACUGACAAGAAACAACAUCCUGAAUUAUAGAACUCAUCACUAGCAAACCUGACAGAAGGAAUUGCUAGCAAGUCAGUUUAUUAAAGCUUCCACAGUUUUUACCUUCCUCCAAAAAUACCUUUAUUUUAUUUUUUUGUUGCAAGCUAAUCAGCUGGAAAAGAGAUUUGAAGAAAAAGGAUAUCCUAGUUGAUAUAGUUCACAAGGGAUUAGUUAAGCCUCAUGAGUCUGACAGACAACAAAUUAUUGCCUCAACAGCUCAAAUUGGGGCAGCACUUUUCUGUGUCACUUGUUCUGGCGUGUUCUUAUUUGUCACCUACAAUCAAGGAAGAAAUUCUCAAGCAGACCUCUGCAGCUUACCUCUUGAAAAGGCAAGUUUCUUCCUCCACUCAUCCAUUAUUAUCGCAGCUUGGAUUUCUUGGACAAACGCCCACUAUCCUUUUAAAAUAUUCCUACUCAGAAUGCUAAUAUCCCAGUUAUUGAUCUAUUGAAAGGCAUUUUAUAGUAAUUGGCAAAACCUGUGACAAGAAUCCUUACCUUCUUCCUACCAGAUGGGGCAUUUUACAGCCACAGAGUCAUGUUUUAUUGCAAAAUUACUCGUAACUAUGCCUACCCAGAAUGUCUAGUUUUCCAACAACAUUUUAGGACAUUGUCACCUUGAGAGUUUUAAAAAACAUCUCUACAUUCCGGUUUUUCACCAUGUACACAUUUUAUUCUUAUGGACAAAGAAAAGUUGGGACAAAAUGUGUCCCAACAGAUCUGUUUCUUUUUGCCAUUAGGACACUUGUGUGUUCCAGAACUGUGUAACAUAGUCACUGUGAAUCUUUAAAUACCAUUGAUAUUUAAUUCUGCUGUAAUGUUUGUAUAUUUAUAUAUCUUAAAUUGUAUUGAGGUGCUUUGAGUUUUCUUGUGGAGAAAAAAAGUGGGGUAUAAAUAAACAUAAUAAACAUAACAACAACAACAACAACAACAACAACAACAAAACUUUAUUUAUAUACCGCUCUAUUUCUGAUAAGGACUCACAGUGGUUUAUUCCAUAAUAAUGGAAUAAAAAGUGUGGUUGAAACAGCCUGGGUGAGAAAUAACCCCUUCUUCUGCUCAAAGAUAGUCCUGUCAAGGAUUCCAAUGUCAUCAGAGGCAGAAAUCAAAGAAUAUGGUGAAGACAUACAAACUGUUCAUUUUAAAGCACUGAAGAGACUAGACUUGUGCAUUUCAGCUAAACCCGAUCCGUUUCUGUUGGUUGGAUACUGGUAGGCCCCCAUAUCAGUUUUUGCAGGACUCUCAAAAACAGGUGGGUAUUUUGAUAGCCAUUUUCAGCCUGUAGCUGAAGGGUGUAGUUAGAUCUGGCCCAUUGGAGACAGUGGGCAACUUAAAGGACUCUCCUUGGGAGCCUUUCCAUUUUUCCUUCAAAGGAGCCUGGGUGUCAGUAAGGGGGUUAAGAAAGCACCCUAUCCGGCCCAUUAUGCUUGGGGGGACUUCCCACAGGCUCCCCUUCUAUAUCCUUAAUUAAGACCUGGAUUAAAAGAAUCAGAUUUCAGACAACACUCUUUCUGCUAUCCUUUCCCUAAAGUCUGUAGAGGAGACCGGGUUUAAUGCUUCAUUAAAACUGUUUUUUCUACUCUAAAGGAGACAGGCUGCCGGUGUGCCCGCUCUCUCCCUGCACACAGUUUUCCAAGGCAUUUAAGGAGGCUUCCCACUUCCCAGGGAAGAAAAAACAAUCAACCUGGAGCUAUCUCCCUGGGCUUUCUUAAAAAAACUCUCUUUUUUACUCUACUGCAGGCCCUGUCUCUGGAUUUAAUGCUUCCUAAAAGAUGUUUCUACUUUCUACUCUGGAGUAGCGGUAAAUAGGUGGUUUUAGUUUUCAGAAAAUGAGGGUUUUCUUUUUGUUUCAUGAGAUUAAUUAUUAUUAUCUUUUAGAAAUAUUUGAAGGAGAAGGAAGGGAAAGAGAAAAAUAUCUAAAAGGGUCCCACUAAAUUUUUAAAAAAUCAAGAAAAUAAAGGAAAAUCAAAGGGAUUAAAUUGUGGUGCUGAAUAGGGGAGGAUGAGCCAAGAUGGACUGCCAUAUGGUCCUGUUAUGGACAGGAAUCAGUUACGGGCACCCGAACAAACCAAAGAAGCCAGAUUGGAUGAAGGAAAUGGCUAAAAACAGAUCCAGGCUCAAACCUAUUAUAGACUAUUAAAGCAUGGUAAACAAGUUGAGGGCAUUUAGGUAAAACAUUAAAGGGGAUGGAUAUAAAAGUGUCUUUGAAUGGCUGCUAGAACUAUAAUUCACAAUUGCUAAAUAUUCUGACAUAGGAAUUAGCUGGUUCAAAUGGUAUUUAUAUUUUUACUGCUUUUAGAUAGCAGAAUAGUUUUUAAAUAGUUUUUAAAUUUGUUUUUAUUAAUGUUUAUGCUAUUGACUAAUUUUGUUGUAUUAAGUGAUAAGUAUUUAUUGUCUGUAUUACAUUAUUUACUGUAUUUGUUUGUUUGUUGUAAGCCACCUGAGUCCCUUCGGGGAGAGGGGACAAGAUAUAAAUAAAGAUCAUUAUUAGUA